CCUACGGGGGCAGCAGUGGGGAAUAUUGCACAAUGGGCGCAAGCCUGAUGCAGCCAUGCCGCGUGUGUGAAGAAGGCCUUCGGGUUGUAAAGCACUUUCAGCGGGGAGGAAGGCGGUGAGGUUAAUAACCUCAUCGAUUGACGUUACCCGCAGAAGAAGCACCGGCUAACUCCGUGCCAGCAGCCGCGGUAAUACGGAGGGUGCAAGCGUUAAUCGGAAUUACUGGGCGUAAAGCGCACGCAGGCGGUCUGUCAAGUCGGAUGUGAAAUCCCCGGGCUCAACCUGGGAACUGCAUUCGAAACUGGCAGACUAGAGGCUUGUAGAGGGGGGUAGAAUUCCAGGUGUAGCGGUGAAAUGCGUAGAGAUCUGGAGGAAUACCGGUGGCGAAGGCGGCCCCCUGGACAAAGACUGACGCUCAGGUGCGAAAGCGUGGGGAGCAAACAGGAUUAGAUACCCGUGUAGUC
rnacentral:rRNA from 1 species